GACGAACGCUGGCGGCAUGCCUAACACAUGCAAGUCGAACGAGAUCUUCGGGUCUAGUGGCGCACGGGUGCGUAACGCGUGGGAAUCUGCCCUUUGGUUCGGAAUAACAGUUGGAAACGACUGCUAAUACCGGAUGAUGACGAAAGUCCAAAGAUUUAUCGACAGAGGAGGAGCCCGCGUAGGAUUAGCUAGUUGGUGUGGUAAAGGCGCACCAAGGCGACGAUCCUUAGCUGGUCUGAGAGGAUGAUCAGCCACACUGGGACUGAGACACGGCGCAGACUCCUACGGGAGGCAGCAGUGGGGAAUAUUGGACAAUGGGCGAAAGCCUGAUCCAGCAAUGCCGCGUGAGUGAUGAAGGCCUUAGGGUUGUAAAGCUCUUUUACCCGGGAUGAUAAUGACAGUACCGGGAGAAUAAGCUCCGGCUAACUCCGUGCCAGCCGCCGCCGUAA
rnacentral:rRNA from 1 species